rnacentral:rRNA from 1 species
AUUGAACGCUGGCGGCAGGCCUAACACAUGCAAGUCGAACGAGUGGCGGACGGGUGAGUAAUGUCUGGGAAACUGCCUGAUGGAGGGGGAUAACUACUGGAAACGGUAGCUAAUACCGCAUACCAUCGGAUGUGCCCAGAUGGGAUUAGCUAGUAGGUGGGGUAAAGGCUCACCUAGGCGACGAUCCCUAGCUGGUCUGAGAGGAGGACCAGCCACCCUGGUACUGAGCCACGGGCCAGACUCCUACGUGAGGCAGCAGUGGGGAAUAUUGCACAAUUGGCGCAAGCCUGAUGCAGCCAUCCCGCGUGUAUGAAGAAGGCCUUCGGGUUGUAAAGUACUUUCAGCGGGGAAGCGUUACCCGCAGAAUAAGCACCGGCUAACUCCGUGCCAGCAGCCGCGGUAAUUC